GGGAAUUGGAAGAGAAAGAGAGGCUGAGAAGGGAAACCUUGCUCAGGCCAGCUGAGGUGCCGUCCAGGGCUUCUGAAGUUCCCACUCGUCCAGCAGAGGCUGUCACUCCAACUCCAGCUGCGGCAGCUGCAGCCCCAGCAUCAGCUGCUGUACCAGCCCCUGGAAGGUAUGUGCCUAGGUUUCGCCGGGGGGAUAAAAGUGAAUCCUCUGGCCAGGCACCACCACCUCAAGACUCUGAUCGGUGGAGUGGCAGCAGCACCAACAAGCCCCCGUCUUCUACUGAAGACCGAUGGGGCGGCAGAGGACCUCCCCCUGAAACUGAUCGUUGGAGCGGCAGAGGACCUCCCCCUGAAACUGAUCGUUGGAGCGGCAGCAGAAGCAGGGCCCCACCUGCGGAAGGUGAUCGGUGGGGUAGCGGUCGAUCAGAUGACCGUCCUGCUAGUGACAAAUGGCGGGGUUCCUCCUUUGGUAGGUCCACUGCAUCUAGGGUCC
rnacentral:lncRNA from 1 species